rnacentral:rRNA from 1 species
UACGUAGGGUGCGAGCGUUGUCCGGAAUUAUUGGGCGUAAAGAGCUUGUAGGCGGUCUGUCGCGUCUGCCGUGAAAAUCCGGGGCUCAACCCCGGACUUGCAGUGGGUACGGGCAGACUAGAGUGUGGUAGGGGAGACUGGAAUUCCUGGUGUAGCGGUGAAAUGCGCAGAUAUCAGGAGGAACACCGAUGGCGAAGGCAGGUCUCUGGGCCACUACUGACGCUGAGAAGCGAAAGCAUGGGGAGCGAACAGG